rnacentral:rRNA from 1 species
CCUACGGGUGGCUGCAGUGGGGAAUAUUGCACAAUGGGGGAAACCCUGAUGCAGCGACGCCGCGUGAGUGAAGAAGUAAUUCGUUAUGUAAAGCUCCAUCAGCAGGGAAGAAAAUGACGGUACCUGAGUAAGAAGCCCCGGCUAACUACGUGACAGCAGCCGCGGUAAUACGUAGGGGGCAAGCGUUAUCCGGAUUUACUGGGUGUAAAGGGAGCGUAGACGGCAGUGCAAGUCUGGAGUGAAAGGCGGGGGCUCAACCCCCGGACUGCUGGGGAAACUGUACGGCUGGAGUGCAGGAGAGGUAAGUGGAAGUCGUGGUGUAGCGGUGAAAUGCGUAGAUAGUAGGAGGAACACCAGUGGCGAAGGCGGCUUGCUGGACUGUAACUGACGUUGAGGCUCGAAAGCGUGGGGAGCGAACAGGAUUAGAUACCCGUGUAGUC